CUGAGAGAAACACUCACUUCAUCAACUACAUCACGGGACCGUUCAAGAACCUGGAACAGAAAGAGACGUCUGUAAGAUAAAGGUCACAUAUCUAACAAUAGGUCGUCCCUCAGUUGGGUGAUUUCUGAGGCUCAUCGACAAUUCUCCUAGCAGACAAUUGCUUCAUAUUAAAAGUUCGACCAUGAAAAUCU